GACGAACGCUGGCGGCGUGCCUAAUACAUGCAAGUCGAGCGAGCGGAACCAACAGAUUUACUUCGGUAAUGACGUUGGGAAAGCGAGCGGCGGAUGGGUGAGUAACACGUGGGGAACCUGCCCCUAAGUCUGGGAUACCAUUUGGAAACAGGUGCUAAUACCGGAUAAUAAAGCAGAUCGCAUGAUCAGCUUUUGAAAGGCGGCGUAAGCUGUCGCUAAGGGAUGGCCCCGCGGUGCAUUAGCUAGUUGGUAAGGUAACGGCUUACCAAGGCGACGAUGCAUAGCCGAGUUGAGAGACUGAUCGGCCACAUUGGGACUGAGACACGGCCCAGACUCCUACGGGAGGCAGCAGUGGGGAAUCUUCCGCAAUGGGCGAAAGCCUGACGGAGCAAUGCCGCGUGAGUGAUGAAGGAAUUCGUUCCGUAAAAGCUCUUUUGUUUAUGACGAAUGUGCAGACUGUGAAUAAUGGUUUGAAUGACGGUAGUAAACGAAUAAG
rnacentral:rRNA from 1 species